rnacentral:rRNA from 1 species
UACAGAGGUCUCAAGCGUUGUUCGGAUUCAUUGGGCGUAAAGGGUGCGUAGGUGGCGCCAUAAGUCAGGUGUGAAAUCUCGGGCGUUAACUCCGAAACUGCAUUUGAUACUGUGGUGCUUGAGGACUGGAGAGGAGACUGGAAUUCACGGUGUAGCAGUGAAAUGCGUAGAGAUCGUGAGGAAGACCAGUGGCGAAGGCGGGUCUCGUGGGGCCGAUACUGACGCUGAGGAGCGAAAGCGUGGGGAGCGAACAGG